GCGAAGGUGGCGGAAUUGGCAGACGCACUAGCUUGAGGUGCUAGCGGGUAACACCGUGGGGGUUCAAGUCCCCCCCUUCGCACCA
rnacentral:tRNA from 1 species